CCCUUCUCCGUUUCUGCCCAAAAUGGAGGAACACCACUAAGCAAGAUAUAUAGUAUGACUCCUGCACUCCAAAUAUCUAAUUCCUUUCCAUAUCUGCGUCUUAAUACUUCAGGAGCAACAUAGUAUGCACUUCCGACUAUGUCUCGAUACACUUUUGCUUCUUCGAUGAAUACUGAAAGUCCAAAAUCAGUUGCCUUCAAAAGGGCAUUGUUACCCUUACUAGAAAGCAAGAAAUUCUCAGGCUUAAGAUCCCUAUGCAUCACACCCAUAAAAUGACAGGCAUGCACAACAUUGACAAUUGCCCUGCAUAUAGCAGCGGCUUCCUUCUCACUAUAGUGCCCCUUCGCAAUAAUCCUAUCAAACAACUCGCCUCCUGCACACAACUCCAUCACAAGAUGCACAGAUUGCUUAUC
rnacentral:misc_RNA from 1 species